GUGCCUCAGCAGCAAAUAUACUAAAAUUGGAACAAUACAGAGAAAAUUAGCAUGACCCUUGCUCAAGGAUGACAUGUAAAUUCAUGAAGUGUUCCAUAUUUGU